CUGGUUUUGUGCCAAGUGGCCAUGGAGUCGCGGAGUCUGUUCUUUCUGAAGAGAUUUCUUCGUCCCUUCUCCGCUUACCGUUCGGCGAGCACCGGAGUUGGCGACGAGAGCUUCGUCUACCGGCGGUCGAUGCUCCGCCGGCCGUCGACGGUGAGGCGAGGAUCGGUGCCAUGGAAUUCGUGCAGCUUCAUCGGGACGGUGAUUUUCCCUGUGAAGAGGUACGCUAGUGACUUUCCGGGGGUUUACACUUCUCUCGAGGUGAAGUGGCCUUCCUGCGAUUCGAGUUCGUCGUCUUUCUGCAGGAUACACUUGCAUUUGUCGGACAAGCUAGAAAAAGUAUCACUCAAAUACUUGAAACCAAAUGAUAUAAUUUAUGUUCGUGGUCGUUUAGAUUCUUACAAGAAACACUUUGAAGAUGGAAGUCAUGCAAUCUUUUACAAGGUUCACGUUGUAGAUUUGAAUUUUGUUAAACGUGAUAGACAAAUUCAGAAGUCCACGGAGAUGGAGAUUUCAGUAGUAGAAGAGUUAACAGUACCCGUUUCCAGUACAGCGGAUGAUGAUAAAGAGUUGCGAGACCGCCUGCACUUAUGGCAGGUGUUCUUUGCGAAUCCAUAUGAAUGGUGGGAUAAUAGGCAAAAGAAGUUUUUUUCAGGUUCAGCAGAUUUUAGACACAAGAAUACUCAUGAUGGCCUGUGGCUCAGGCCGGAUGACCCUUCUUGGGUAAGAAGGCAGCUGCAACUCUAUGACUCGAAUAUUACAAUGAAUCGUCGCUCAAAGGUGCAUGAAUGGGAAAUGGAGGAUUUAUUGUGAAGUUUGUACUAAGCAGUAGAUGAGUAAUUAUGGAGUUUAUGUAGGUGGAACUGAAUAUUAAAUCCGUUGAUCUGCCUGAUACAAGUGGGGAAGGCUUUGAUCUCCUUCCCAAAGUUGGAGAUGAAAUAUUGAAAGCACCAACAAGGUCCAAAAUACCGGUGAAAAUGAACUUCUGCAGAAAUCCAUAGAAGAACAGAAAGAGCUCAUAUGCCAUAGUUACUGAUAAGAUAAAAGGGGGUAGCUUCUAAUAGUAACCAUCACAUUUUUAUAAUCAUGUGGCUGCAAGUAGAUGGUGAACUGACCAAAGUGGACUUAUCAGGAGAUGUAUUGCUUGCCUAUGGUUGGAUAGCAUAAUACUGGGGAUAGAUAUGGAGAAUCUGGAGUUUAGCAAGUACUGAGGAUGACACAGGUUUUAACAUCAUUAUAUAUCUGAUUAGACAUGAAGUACAAGUUUCAACUUUACAUGCCUGCUACAGUAUAUCUUGAUUGGCGGAAUUAGACAGGAUCAGAAGCAAUAGUGGAUUCUACAGAUCUUCUGCACUGGCUAGCUGAAAUCGCUGUUUUUAAGUUUUGUGCUGAGAGGAGGCAGAAACAUGAUUUGAAACAUGUUAAUCGUGUUUCAUCUAUCCGUGAAGCUAUCACACGGGCAACUUCUCACUUUGAAUGAGUUGAGGAGACGCAACACAGUAGCUGCAGUGGGGCUAGAAGCUUCAUUGCAAAGAUGUGAUAGAACCAAUGAAGGUCAGCUGGUGAUAUGUAUCUUCUUUUUCAUUUGCCAAGAAAAGGCAAAGGAGGAGGAUUAUUAUGUAUGUAUGGUGAGGCUCAUUCCCCAAUGACACUGUUCGCCUGCAUCUGAAGUGGAUAAUGUAUGCCCUUUGGCCCUUUGGACAGUAGCUAUAAGCAUGUUCCCAAUGUGUGUGAUGUAACUCUCAAUGUGUUCAACAGACAUGCAAGUGUGAAAUCAAAGAACAGUGGGUGCCAAUUUGCUCAUUUU